AGUAUCGAAAUAUGGGAGGAGAGGUGCCAGAGGGUUUGGCACGCAUAGCAAACAUUGAUCCGACUGCAGUCCGGAUCAUAAUAAACCAUUAAAGAAAAUUAAGAUAUAACAAUUCAGGCCAUAAAAACUCCACAUGAGAAUGUGAAAGGGAGACCGAACGGGGCAGAAGCAGCCCCGACAUCAGAAACGAACAAAUAAUUCACACCAUUCUGAAGCAAAUUAUGGCAUAGUUGGGAUAGUAUUCCAUUCUUCCGAUAACCGCACGUCACACCGAAGAUAACCCGCAUAGAUAUCGCUCCCCAGAGUUCUACGACUUCAAGCCAUCCAAAAAAAAAAAACCAGCCGAGUACCAUAUUGAAAUUUAUGAGGCAGCUAAAUUGACAGGAGGGCCACAGGGGUGACUUUGCCCAAAAAUAUAUUGAUAUAUAAGGCCAGAGUUCCAUAAACAGAGCACAAAACAUAUAUAAUUUCAGCUACCGCAUAAUAGAGCUUGUAAAUUACCAGAACUGUGCACAUACGAAAGUAUUGCUUUAGCUUUUGCCUCCAAAAUUACUUGGCCCAGAUGUCGCCAGCUCCGGAAAUCGCUUCCAAUUCAUUAAGCCAGAGCGGAGAAAACCUUAACCGACAUGAAGGAAAUUCCCUUUACUUUGAGACAAAUGAAAAAACUUGUGCUGGGAUAAAAAUUGAACAUUUAAGGAUGGAGGGGGCGGCGAUGGGGAAGAUUAAAGGGGUCCUCCGAUCAACUAAGCGGAACAAUUGCAGUACGCCAAACAAUGUGCAACAUGCCAAAGCAUCGGGGGCAAGGAAAAAUGUGGCAAGGAGGGAAAAGGAAUCAUAGCACUGGAAAAAGCCUACAACACCAAACCGUAGCAGCAGCUGUAACACGUUGAUUAUGCAAGCUUCAUGAUGAAAUCCCUGGAAUGUGGACGAUGAUGAUGAUAAUGGUGCUUGGGGUCUCUGCGGUUUCUUUUGGGGGUUUUCGGGCACUCUGUUCACUGGGUUAAGGGACCCGAGAACCCGAGAAUGGAGUAUGGAGGGACGACCCAGCCCAGACCAGAGGCCCGAGGAGGCCCAAAAUGUUUACAGGGUUUCAUUUUAUUUUUCUACUUCAGGGA